CUUUGGUUGCGCUGCAAUGGAGAGCAGAGGCACCUUGAAUGCAGCUCAUGUUGAUAGGCCAUGGGGAGUCAGACCAUUGCUCCUUCUAGUGCAAUAUUGUCUACACUGACACAUAGCUGUCAACUUACAGAUUUGAAAAUAAGGGACCAGCAGCAUCAAAAAUAAGGGAUCAGCAGCCAAAAUAAGGGAUUUUCUGGACACAGGUAUGUUUAACUUCUGAACCCCUCCGAGCCAAAGGCAGAAAGACCAGCCAGCAGCCAAACAAAGCCUCAAGCCUCAAGGAAAACCACCGUCACCUCUCCGCUGGGAAGCGCUGAGCAAAGGCGAGUCCCCAGGCAACGCAGCCGAUUUGAUCAGCACAAGGCAUGCAAGCUCCACCCCCCAGUCGUUCUUAGACUUCUUAUUGGGUGAGCAACGCAGCCAAGCAAGACAGUUGGAGCCUCCCUCCUCCCUGGCCAGCAGGGAGGGAGGGAGAGGAGCUGCUUCCUUUGAAACCCGGGAAAUUUAAGGGACAUCAUGAAUAAGGGACAGCAGCGGGACAUGGCGCUGGGAUAAGGGAUUGUCCCACCAAAUAAGGGACGCUUGACAGCUAUGCACUGACAGGCCGUGGCUCUCCUCUUUCAUACGAUAGUCUCUCCAUGCCUGAGAUGCCAGUAAUUGAAACUGGGACCUUCUGCAUGUUCUAGCACUGAACGACAGUCCUUCCACAGGUUCAAUCCCUGGCAUCUACUGAUAGGGCUGGAAAUAUCCCCUGCUUGAAAUUCUAGAGAGCUGCUUCCAUUCGGUGUAAACACUACUGAACUGGACAAUGGUGUCUGACUCUGUAUAAGGCAGCUUCCUAUUUGCCACUCUUUCCCCUGCCGCUGCGUUCCUAUUAAUGCACCAUUGCUGAAAAAUGCUUUAGCAAGGCAUCCACGCAACUACAGGAAAUUGAAAUGGCGUGGGAGGGGAGAAGCAGCUGUGUGUGUGUUUGUGUGUGAAUGUGAGACUGAUAACUAUUCUUAUAAUGCUUGGGCUUUAUGAGUAAAGUACCGUAUUUUUUGCUCUAUAAGACUCACUUUUUCCCUCCUAAAAAGUAAGGGGAAAUGUGUGUGUGUCUUAUGGAGCGAAUGCAGGCUGCACAGCUAUCCCAGAAGCCAGAACAGUGAGAGGGAUCGCUGCUUUCGCUGCACAGUGAUCCCUCUUGCUGUUCUGGCUUCUGGGAUUCAGAAUAUUUUUUUCUUGUUUUCCGCCUCCAAAAGCUAGGUCCGUCUUAUGGUUUGGUGCGUCUUAUAGAGCGACAAAUACGGUAAGUAAAAUAAAAAAGGUAAAGGACCCCUGGUGAACGGCAACAUUAUAGGAUCUCAUUUUGAAACCAGGCGUGUGGAAACCCACAAGAAGUGUGUUUUCAAGGUUAGGGAAGUGAAAGUUAUAUGCAUUUUUCUCCAGUUUUGACUGUGUGUCACAGUCAUUUUUGCUGCUGAGUGACACAGAACUAGCUUUCUUUCUGCAACUGCUAGUGUAAAUUCAAAGGCUUUACAGCUCUGUGUUUGUGAUUACUGAGGAUACAAAUGAAUACAUGGAGAGGGAUGGUGAUCUCAGCCACAGAUCUGACUUUUUGACCCAUAUGCAUUCCCAUUCCCAUUUGCACUGAUGUAUACACAUGAAUGUUUAUCAAGCUCCCUACCCAUAAUUUAUCUCUUCUAAAAAUGACCCCUCAGGAAAUUGGACCCUGGAUGUUUCAAUUUCCAGGGCUAGGUACAAGUUCUCACCCUAGCCUCCCUCAUUACACAUACAUUUGUAUACUUGAAGAUGUCCUGGACAGUGCUUACAUUUCCUGCCUUCACAACAAACGGGAGAGAUAGGUCAUGAACAUUUCCACUGUACACAUGAGACUAAGACAGAAUGGUCUAUCCCAUAGGUAAGGUAAAGGACCCCUGGACAGUUAAGUCCAGUCAAAGGAGACUAUGGGGUGUGGUGCUCAUCUUGCUUUCAGGCCAAGGGAGCUGGCGUUUGUUCACAGACAGCUUUCCAGGCCAUUUGGCCAGCAUGACUAAACUGCUUCUGGAGCAACAGAACACCAUGACAGAAGCCAGAGUGCAUGGAAAUGCCGUUUACCUUCCCGCCACAGUGGUAGCUGUUUAUCUACUUGCACUGGCAUGCUUUGAACUGCUAGGUUGGCAGGAGCUGGGACAGAGCAACGGAAGCUCACGCCGUUGCACGGAUUUGAAUCGCCGACCUUCUGAUCUGCAUGCCCAAGAGGUUCGGUGGUUUAGACCACAGCGCCACCCGCAUCCUGACUGGACAGAAGGCCCGUUGAUUCCUGCUUUCUAUCCCAAAUUACGUUGGGGUGUCGGACCUGUAAGCCCAUGCCAUAGACAGAGAUGAUGCAGGGCAUUUUCCAUGGGGGGAUUCCUAAUGGGGCUUUGAGACUGAAGGCCCAAACAUGCCACAGGGUGGCAAGUUUGCUACAGGCUCUUUUAGAAGAUGUUUUCACAAUGUCUCUAAUAUACCACAAAAGACUUGACAAAUUUGAAAAAAACCAGAGAAAAUUGCAUUUGUCAAAUCACACUCAAUAAACCACCAGAUUCAUAAAGUUCACAGCUGCUUUCAUUUUAGGUGUUAUGAGAACUAUAUUCACAAUUUUGCUUAUAAAAAACCCCCAAUAAAUUAAGGGGGGAAGAGAAAUGUAUCAUUGAUAACUUCUGGUUAAAACAUCAUUGAAUCAGGAAGUUACUGAACAGAAAUGCAUUAUUUAGUGGUCUAAUAUAGACAAUGGAUAAGCUUAUACCACUAAUUAAAUGGAGCACAUAGAUGAAAAAUACAUGGGGACAUGGAAUAUUCAUUAACAGUUCUUGUUAUGUAAAACUUCCAGUCUAAUCAAGGUCAUGUGUGCCUCCUUCCUAUCUAAUGUCAGAUAGUGUUAAACAGGAUCAUUACAAAUUCUAUAUAAAUUUAAGGCGCUUGCAGCCUCAACAGAGAAUGCAAGCUGCCAAGACUGCCAGGUUUCCAAAGUUGCCAAGAAAUCCUUUUCUGAAGCUCGUCUUGUGACCUUAGGGAACUGAUAGAAUAGCAGGAGUAAUGCUGGAUGAGCAAUUCAGAAUUCCACUACAGUUAAAGCUUGGGUGAGUAUCUACUAGUGCAACUGAGGGAACUUGAGCAAAUUAGAUUGGGUGCAGUCAGAGCAGAGCCACUGAAAUUUGGAGCAGCCAGCUGCACAGAUGUAUGUGUGUGACAUGUUAGAUAACACCACUAUUUUUUCCCUCAGAGUCUUGGUGACAUCAUGCCACUAUAUGUUACGGUUGCUUUUGGACUGGUGGAGCACUUCAACGUUCCACGUGCUGUGCUGCAGGUAGGAAGAAGGGAAAGAUUGGGUUCCCCCUCUGGAAAGAAGCAGAAGUCCCAACAAAGGAAGAAUGGAUACAAGAACUUACGGAACAUGCAGAAAUGGCGAAACUUGCCGGAAGAAUAAGGAAUCAAG